GAAGCAAUUACACGGUGUGGAGGAAAGAUGGUGUAAGCUUGACGUUUGAGUGCCUUUUCUCCGGAAAGAGACCAUUGCUUAAGGAUGUGGAGUCUCCUGCUUCUUCUUCUGAGCCAAGGCUCUGUGUUCAGUGUCCACGUCUAUCAAAAGCCAAACAGGGACAUCUGUCAAAGUGGAACCUCCCUGAAAAUCCAGUGUGUGGUGGAUAGUCAAGUUACUGUGAUGCUCUGGUACCGACAGUUCCAGGGACAGAGCUUGGAGCUCAUGGCAACUGCGAAUCAAGGCCGUGAAGCCACAUACGAGAAUGGAUUCAGAAAUGACAAGUUUCCUAUCAGCUUCCCAAACCUAACAUUCUCAACUUUGACAGUGAACAGCAUGAGGCCUGAAGACAGCAGCGUCUAUUUCUGCAGUGCUGAAGACACAGUGCUGGUUACAAAUGAGAGAUCUCAGCAAGAACCCCAUCUCCUUCCAUUGAGCUCUCCUCAGAUGAGCUGA